rnacentral:rRNA from 1 species
GAGACAGGUGCUGCAUGGCUGUCGUCAGCUCGCGUCGUGAGAUGUUGGGUUAAGUCCCGCAACGAGCGCAACCCUCAUUGUUAGUUACUACCAUUCAGUUGAGGACUCUAAUGAGACUGCCAACGACAAGUUGGAGGAAGGUGGGGAUGACGUCAAAUCAUCAUGCCCUUUAUGACCUGGGCUACAAACGUACUACAAUGGCCAAUACAAAGAGAUGCGAAGCGGUGACGUGGAGCGAACCUCAGAAAGUUGGUCUCAGUUCAGAUUGAAGUCUGCAACUCGACUUCAUGAAGGCGGAAUCGCUAGUAAUCGCGAGUCAGCAGAUCGCGGUGAAUACGUUCCCGGGUUUU